UUCACUCGUUCUCUUCCUCUCCUUCACUCGUUCUAUUCCUCUCCUUCACUCGUUCUCUUCCUCCCCUUCACUCGUUCUCUUCCUCCCCUUCACUCGUUCUCUUCCUCUCCUUCAAUCGUUCUCUUCCACUUCUUCAAAUUAAUUAAUUCAUUCAUGUGUGUAUAUAGUCAGUGUGUGUUUAAUUUGUGUGAAUGUUGCUUUCUCAUCACUUCACACAUUCAUCCUCUCAUCCCACUGUAAUCAUGUGAUUUGUGGAUCUGACUCACAGUGACCUUUGAACCCUCUUAGGUGUGUGUGUGUGCAUUUCCAUGGCGUCAGGUGUCUGUGUGUUGUCAGUGUGUGUGUGUGUGUGUGUGGCGUUUAACCUCGACACAUCAUUCCCGCUGCUGAAGACGGGACGACGCAGAACCCUGUUUGGCCUGUCGGUGGCGCUGCACCAAGACCUGAGGACAGACAGUCUCCUGCUCUUGGUUGGAGCUCCCAGGGAGAAGGCGGAGCCUGGUGUUCCAGCAAAUCAAACAGGGGGCGUGUACAGCUGCCCAGUGAGCACAGACCAAUCAGAAUGCAGCAGGAUGAAGCUCAUUGAUCCAGAGGUCAACCUGUCAGAGGACCUGAUAGAAGACAUGUGGCUGGGAGUGACUGUGGCCAGCCAGGCUCCUCCCGGUGGGCGGGUCCUGGUGUGUGGUCAUCGGUUCGUUAAACUUUACGGACCUUUAGGAAUCAGACAGAUGAUUGGUCGAUGUUAUCUCCGUGGAAACGACCUGUGGUACAAUGACACUGACAUGAACUGGCAGAACCCAGAACAACCGUGCAGUCACCUGGGUGAUGUCAGAGCUGAGGUCAUGUGUAACGCAGGUAUUUCAGCUUCAAUCACUCAGAACGAGGUCAUCAUCGGAUCACCUGGAAGUUACGAAUGGCAAGGAAAUGUCCAUGUUUCCUGGUUAAACCCUGACGACGUCUUUGACUCUCAGAAAAGUUCCUUCACCAACAUGAACCACAGAAGCAUUUAUAUCGGAUACUCUGUCACUCAGUCUCACCAUCUUCUCUCUGGGAACGAUGUAACCAUAGUAACAGGUGCUCCAAAGGACAGUAAACAUGAUGCACGUGGCUCCGUGCUGUUGGCGGUGAAACGGUCCAAUCAGCUGAUCGGUCAGCUCACCCUGCGCGGCGAGCAGACCGGCUCGUACUUCGGUAACGCCGUAGCAACCAGCGACUUCAACAACGACGGGUGGGACGACCUGUUGGUUGGCGCUCCUUUUUACUUCCAUCGCCAACGGGAGGUGGGUGGAGCCGUUUAUGUCUACAUGAACUCAGGUGGGAGGAUCAGUCCAGAACCCAGUGUGGUUCUGAGAGGACCAGCUGGGUCGGCCUUCGGUAUGAGUGUCACUGCUGCUGGAGAUCUGAAUCAAGACGGCUUCCAGGACUUUGCAGUCGGAGCUCCGUUCCAUGAAACAGGAAGUGUGAUGAUCUGGGUUGGGAGUAAAGACGGAGUGACAACAGAACCGAGCCAGGUCUGCCUGUCUGUCUGUCUGUCUGUGAGACAGACAGACAGACAGACAGACAGACAGUGUGGUGUGUGCUGCCCUCUGCAGGUGAUCCGUGGCAGCAGCGUGUCUCCUCGCUUCAGGACGUUCGGCUUCUCUCUGUCCUCAGGUUUGGACGUGGACGGGAACAAGUAUCCAGAUCUGCUGAUCGGCUCUCUGGACGACACGGUCGCUCUGCUCAGAACCCGUCCAGUCAUCCAUCUCAGUAAAACACUCCGUGUUUUUCCAAACAUCGUCGACUCAAACGUCUGUGACUUUUGUAUUCAGGUGGAAGUGUGUUUCUCUUACAUCUUCAGCACCGGAGAGAAAAGUGACAGAGACAACAUCACUGUCUCUUUCACUGUAGCUGCUGACAUCACCAGCCUCAAGCCCCGCCUCCAUUUCCAUGACAACGGGCACAGCACCUACUCCACUUUCCUGUCCAUGUCAAAAAAACUAUGUCAAACCAUCAGAGUGGGACUUCUGAGUCCAGUCAGAGACAAAGUGGAGCCUCUGGUCUUUUCUCUGGACGCUUCGUUACAUGAAAACCUUCCCAAGAGAAGAAGUCCUCUACACAACCUCAAACACUUCCCAGUGCUGAGCCACACACCACAUCCCAUCAGAACCCAGAUCCAGAUCCAGAAGACCUGUGGUUCUGAAAACCAUUGCCAUAGUAACCUGCAGAUGACAGCCCAGUUCACAGACGAAGAUCAAAAACCCUUCAGUAGGGUGAAUGUCUCUCAGUUGUUACAGAACAACAUCACAGUAACCAGGUUAUUACUGGAGGUUAACAUCAGUAACCUUCAGUCUCCAGGUCGUCCGGCAGAGGACGCUCAAGCUGCCACUCUGAACAUCAGCUUCCCUCCAUCACUCUUAUACUCUGGAGUUCGGACUAAGGGUGAAAUGAUGACAUCAUCAGUCAAGUGUUCAGUCAAACACCUGGUUCUUGUGUGUGAGCUGGGGAACCCGUUCAGAAGCCAGCAGAAGGUUCAGGUGUGGAUCAUAUUUCAGUUUGACAUGACUGUGGACACAACAGAGAUCCAGGCUGAACUACAGCUGUCCACUCUCAGUGAACAGUCUCUGUCUCCCGUCCUCGUCUCACUGUUGGUGAAUCACUGGCUGCUGACGUCUCUGUCUCUAAUCAGCUCACCAGGCCCCGCCUCCUUCAGUGGUCAUGUGAUGGGUGAGAACCUUGGCGCUCUGCUGCUCUUCAUCUUCCAGGUGCACGUCCAAGGCCCAUCACUUGGUCGUCUAGGUAACCUGGCGGUGGAGUUUCAUUGGCCGGGGGCGUUGUCCAAUGGGAAGCGGUUGCUGUACCUCACAGAGGUCCAGGUGCAGGGCGCUCGCUGUGAUCCACCUGACACGGUAACCAUGCUGUUAGAGGAGGGGAAGGACAGAGGGAGGCGGAACCUGGAGGAGGAGCAUGUCCUCCACCUGUACGCACACAGAAAAAAGUCCUACAUUCUGGACUGUGUACAGGGAGCCAAGUGUGUGACAUUUGUGUGUCCACUGACGGACAUGAAGAACUCAGCGACUCUGACAGUCCGAGCCCGGCUGUGGAGCACCACCAUGAUGGAGGACUUUACUGACGCAGAAAGUGUUGUGGUCCGAGGUCGAGCGACUCUGAAGCUGCACACAAACACAACCAACAUCAAAAUGGAGCCUCACAGUGUGGACAUUGAGGUCCACAUUUAUCCAGAGCUGGGACAGCAGGUGGACUUCAGUGCCCCCUGGUGGCUGUUGGUGGUGUCUGUUAUGGUUGGAGUGUCACUGCUGGCUGUGAUCUGUCUGCUGCUGUGGAAGAGAGUUAUUGUAAGUCCUGAUGGCUGAUGGCAGGAAUGACUUCCUGAAUCUGUCCUUGUGACAGCGGAGCUGUCUGAAUCUCUUGGAGAAUGUGCUCUCCUGGGCCUGGAGGAUGUGGUGGAGAGGAUGAUCGGGGUUAUCCAUGAUGGAAAAAAGUUUAUUAAGCAUCCUCCUCUCCGAUGAUGGAGUCGGCCUUCUUUAUCAGUUUGUUGAGUUUGUUAGUUUUACCGGCUCCAUGCUGCUCCCCCAGCACACCACAGCAAAGAACAGUGCACUGGCCACAACAGACUGGUAAAAUAACUCCAACAUCUUGCUGCAUACAUCAAACAUCAAACCUCGCAGCCUCCUCAGAAAGAAGAGCCUGCUCAUCCCCUUCCUGUACACAGCACCGGUGUUAGCCUUCCAGUCCAGUCUGUUGUUCAGCCUCACACCUAGGAAUUUGUAUUCCUCCACCAUCUCAAUGACCUCCCCCAGUACCCUCAAAGGUUGUGGAGCUGUCCUCUUCCUCUUGAAGUCCAGCACCAUCUCCUCUUCUUCAGGACACAGACUGACUGUUUCUGUACAGAUUGACUGACUAAUGUUUACUUGUGUGGUUUCUUUGUGCGUCACACGGUUGCACUCCACCAGGGGAGGAUUAUGGGUAAACAGCAGCAGCACAAGGAUGCCGACGGUUUCC